rnacentral:rRNA from 1 species
CUCGGCUCGUGUGUCGAUGAAGAGCGCAGCCAGCUGCGUUAACUAAUGUGAAUUGCAGGACACAUUGAACAUCGAUAUCUUGAACGCACAUUGCGGCAGCGGUUUCGCCGCUGCCACGUCUGUCUCAGGGUCGGUCGAACACGUCGCGCCCCGGCUCUUGCCGGGGAGAGCGCCUUGGGCGGUCGCGGUGCCGAAGAAGGACAAGCACCCCGUCCCCCUAAUUCCAGACCCGGACACCAGGCACCCGGUGCCCUCCCUGCGAUGCGUCGCCGGUCGGGUUCCCGCGCGGCUUGUGGACGAGCGCACGGUCUGACCGCUGCUCGAGUCUGCCCGCUGCGGAGGACCGUUCUGGCCGGCACCGGCUGACCGGGAGAGAGGCCGCACGGCUCUGCCCGUCCGAAAUUGCUGAACUUGAUUGUCGACCUGAGAUCGGGCGAGAC